UACAGAGGGUGCAAGCGUUGUUCGGAAUUAUUGGGCGUAAAGGGUGCGUAGGCGGUGCGGUAAGUCUCUUGUGAAAUCUCCAGGCUCAACCUGGAGCCUGCAAGGGAAACUGCCGUGCUUGAGUGUGGGAGAGGUGAGUGGAAUUCCCGGUGUAGCGGUGAAAUGCGUAGAUAUCGGAAGGAACACCUGUGGCGAAAGCGGCUCACUGGACCAUAACUGACGCUGAUGCACGAAAGCUAGGGGAGCAAACAGG
rnacentral:rRNA from 1 species